CUAAGAAUAUUCCGCAAUGGACGGAAGUCUGACGGAGCGACGCCGCGUGGAUGACGAAGGCCGAAAGGUUGUAAAGUUCUUUUGCUGGGGAAGAAUAACCGCAGGAGGGAAUGCCUGUGGGAUGACAAGAACCGGCGAAUAAGCCCCGGCCAACUACGUGCCAGCAGCCGCGGUAACACGUAGGGGGCGAGCGUUGUUCGGAAUUACUGGGCGUAAAGGGCAUGUAGGCGGCUUGGAAAGCCUGGCGUGAAAGUCUGCAGCUUAACUGCAGGGGUGCGCUGGGAACUGCUGAGCUUGAGUGACGGAGAGGGAGCUGGAAUUCCUGGUGUAGGGGUGAAAUCUGUAGAUAUCAGGAAGAACACCGAUGGCGAAGGCAAGCUCCUGGCCGAUGACUGACGCUGAGGUGCGAAAGUGUGGGGAUCAAAACAGGAUUAGAUACCCUGGUAGUCCACACAGUCAACGAUGUGCACUAGGUGCU
rnacentral:rRNA from 1 species